AUUCUAUGUAUAAUGUAUGAAUUAAUAAUUAUGAUGAUGCUUAUUGCUUGAUCCAUGAUAGGCCUAAUUCAGUCUCAGUGGUCUACUCACCCUACUUAUAGUUAUAAAUAAAUUAUAUACAGGACUCAGAGUCAGAAAUUACCUAAGAUUAGAAGAGCCUAAAAAAUGUCCCUUAUUAGUUAUUUCAGUUAUUUGCCAGUUGCCACUAAGAGUCUGCCUAAAGUAACCAGUAGCACUAGCAGUAGGCACUUGAUUAGGCAGUACUGUAACCACCCUUCAUUCUUCACUAUUUGGACAUGGAGACCUAGAGGCUAGAUCAGCAACUAGCUAAAGGCUUCAGCAUUCAGAUUCAGCCUUCAGUCUUCAGAGCUUUUGGAAAAACUUAAUUUAAUACUGUCUUCAUAGUUCAUACUACAUUAUUACUACUGCUAAAAAAAUUGGAUUUAUAAGAUUUUGGGUCUUACCAUCUUACUACCAUGAACCAUCUGGUGGCUGUGGGAAGGGAAGAUUCAUAGAUCAUUUGGCCAUGGCAUGGAAUGACUUGUGUUUUGAACUUACAACUCUUAAUAGAGAUUAGUCUACUCAUACUGAGUCCCACUGUGGAAUUUUGUAUACCAGUAGGUAAUAAAUAUACAUUGCUACAUGUAAUGAUGUAGGUAUCUAUAAAUAUAUACCUAUAGCAAAAUAAAUCAGAAGGCCUAUUUGCCUAUGUAUCACUUUAUUGCUUGAUUUGCAGUUGCAGGUAACUGAGGAGUUAGCCCUACAUUGUUCAUCAAAAUGGGAAAGAAAGACCAAAUGACUCAGGCUCCUCCUGUUGCUAAGUAUAGGAAAGAGAUUGGUUUUCAAAAUAAGAAGCAGGGCUCAGAUGUUGUCAAAAUGGCACGCCUACAAACCAAUAUGAAGACAGCAAAAGUCAAAAUGCAUCAGGAAUUCCGCUUAGUAGUGGCAGCAUCAGUGACAGGUGUGGCUGCCCUGUAUGCACUCCUCUACCUCUGGCUCCAUUGACUGCACUUUAGGGAAAUUUGCAAGCUAGAAAAACCUGUACAUCUAUACUUUUUAUAACUAUUUGAAUAUAUAAUUCGUGGUCUUGAAGUGAAGCAUGUUAUUAUGAAUCAGCAUAAAUCACAUUCUGAUAUUUAUAAAAAUUUCAUAAAAAUAAUUAACAGGUUGCAAAAAUUUGUUGAAAGGUCUAGAUGAAAUCAAUUUGUCACAAAUAUGUCAUGGAAGUUUAAUUAUAUGAUUUAGUUUACUAUUAAUUUUCACGCAAGUUUUACACGUUUUGUGUUCUGUUAUUGUAAUUAAACACAUUUAUUCCUAAUAUAAGUACUUGUGGAAGACAACUAAGUUUUUACAAUUCUAAAAGGUGUUCGGUUAUAUAUGUAUCCCAAUGUAUCCCAUUUGUUUAUUUUCAAAACAGCAUUUCUGAAUGAAAAUUGCACACUCAAUGAAGUCUGUAUCGUAGUUCUUACUUGGCUUGGUAUUUUCUAACAUUUAUUUAAUACUUUCAUCUUUAUAAGAUGUACGGUAUCAUUCCAUUAUUGUUGAUGGUUCGGCUUUCUGCUUGGUCUAUCAAUUUAUCUAUUCUGUUUAAACAUUAAUACAGAUUUUUGGAAGUCAUUUCAAACAUCACAAAUUCAAAACAAUCGUGUUUGGAUGAAAGAGCUCUUGAUUUGCAUUAUUGUUUUUCAGUGAUCAAAUUGCUAGUCAGUUUUCAACAAUAUGAAUAUGAAUAAUUUUUUCUACUGAUUAUUGUCGAUAGAGAGUGAUCUUGCAUAGUGGGCAUUAAUUACUUGUAUGCAAUGCCGUUUUUUGCGAAAAUAAUUUGUAUCAGGAUAGAUUUUGCAGCUGUGAUCAACUUAUUGUAUCUCAAUUUUUUUUAAACUAAUUUUUUUUUGUCCCAAGAGGUUAUUAGUUCAUCCUGCCUUUUUUUGUGCUUUUGUCUUAAGUGGUUAGUUCAUCCUGUUUUUUUUUUCGGCUGGAUGUUGGCUUUUUGCAUAUGCUUAAAGCUACUUCCAAACAGCCCACAUGUGAUCUAUGCAACUUUCAUAAUCAUUGUAAGGGAGGUAAGAUGAAAUUCAUUCCAUGUAAACAAUUGUACCAAAUAAUGGUGUUCUCAAGUGUUUGGAGCAUACAGCAAUAGAAAUGCUAAACUUUUUCAGGAAAAUGUAUAAAUUAUUUUGAUUUGCUUUAGUUUGUGUUUCAGAUAGUAUAUCAGAUAGUAUCAUCUGUCAGGUUACUAGACUUUUGACUUGUCAGGUUUGAAAAAGAGUACCUGUAUAAUAUGGCUCUUGCUCUGCAUUGUUUGGAUUGCCCUGCCGUUACCUGUCUACCAGGACAACCUGUUUGAGAUGUCAUGUGUGAGCAAAUCUUGAGUUAUGAAAUUCGAUAAUACUUCAUAAAAAUACAGCAGCUGAAAUAUUUCUCACAAUUUCCUUCACUUAAUUCAAAUCAAUAUAAAAUUGAUAUUCAUUUUUCUUAUUACAUUUCUGUGCAUAUUUUUGCUACAAGCCAUUUAUUUCAGUGCAACCUUACGAGUGACUAAGAAUAUGUCUAUAUUUUGUUGUAUUCUCGUUGUAUUCAAUUUAUUUAUUAAGAAUGAGCAGCAAAUAAGAAGGCUCAAAUUGCUCUCAAUCUGCUCCUCCCUCAGGGGUCUUAUAUGCGGGAAACGCUAGCCAUUUCUUAAAGAUCAAACUAUUUAUAAUCCGUUACUAGAGCAAGUCACUUUAUUUGUUAUUUAUUUAUUCCGAGUUUAUAAAUUAUUAAAUUUUUACUAUACCUCACUCGUCCAUUGAAUGUUAAUGUUCAGUGUCUGGUGGUUGAAUUUUUUGUUAGAUUAGUACGUACCUAUGUCAUUUAUGUGCCGUAUUUGCUCAUUGACAUGUGCGUGCAAUGUUCCUUGAAAUAAUCUCUGGUUGGAUUUCUUAAGAAAUAUUUGAUCACUGUCGAUUGAAGUUCAAAUUGUGUUUGACAAUCUUUAUAAUUUUAUUUGGUUUCCUGACAAUAGAAUUUUUUGUGACAGUGAACUCAAAUUGAAUCGUUUUCUCAAAUUACUGUGAAUAAAUAAAUGUUUUAGUUUUCGAAUAUUGCAGCUGAUCGUGAAGGAUUGCUUUGAUCACAUGCAUGUUUGAUUAUUUGUAGUCAGUCUAUUAUUUGGUUGCAUUAUUCAGGAACGCCAUACUAUAGCUUAUGGUCUCAGACUGAUGGCCUCGGUUGUGGGAUUAAUUUCAAUACUUUGGAAGGAUAGCAUAGCCCUCUUCUCUGUCUCCCUUGCUACCAAUCUCCCAUAUAAACAUUGUAUUGUAUAAGUUUCUUCGUUUUUAUUGUUGUAUGUAUCCUUAUCACAACCACGUAACUCUAAGCUUUUCUUGAGCCAGUAAAUUAAUACCAUAGAUGAAUUUGUCUUGACCAAAUUACCCCUGACGGAUUUGCUCUUCAACUGUCGUUCAAUGGAAAGUUGAAGGCAAAUUUCACACGCUACUCUGUUGAGUUGCUCUUCGACUCCGAUCGAUUUCUAUUCUCUGAUCGCAGGUUUGUGAUUAUGUUGUAUUAAUUAUGAUCAAUUUAUAAUAAUUUACGUAUUUUAUAUAAUUUUUUUUUUCAUGUAAGAUGACUAAGAUCCAAAUGAGCAUUGUACUACCUUCGCCAGUCAAUUAGGGUAAAGUUUUUUAUUCAAUGUUUCAUUGCGUAUUAUUUAUAUUAUCUCAUUUUUCUUAUUCUGUGCGAGUUAUUUGUUAUACUUAAUCUGAAUAAUAUUAAUUGAACAUCUUUUAGUUAUUUCAUUUAGGAAGUUUGUAUUCAAAUAGUUAUAUUUUCUCAUCGCGUUCAUGUAUUAACAUCUAAUUAAUUGGCAAGUCUUUUUGGAAGAGGGAAACAUUUUUAUCGUGAUAGUUAAUUCAACAGAUAAAAAAUUGGAAUUAAUAAAUUUUGUUUGUUGAAACGGCACCUUGUUGCAGUUGUAUCAUGACUUUCUGGGCUGAACUUCCUAAUUAAUUGUGAAGUACAGUAUAUCCAUCCUAUGGGGUAUAAAUAUCAAUAUUAUUAGUACUGAUCUCUAUUUUACAAAUAAUUCUACUUAAUGAUUACAAGUAUAUGUUAUAUCACUGGUUUCUAUCGUUUCAAGAGCCAAUUCAUCAAAUAUUUUGUGUUUUCUUAUGCUUAUGAUCUCACUAAAUUAAAUUUCUCUCUAGCAUAUUCCUUAUUUCAAAGAUUAUUGAUCCAGCUAUCCAUGAUAUUUUUCAAUUUUUACAUUCCGGUUAUUUCCAAACAAAUUACUACCUAUUUGCUAUUCUAACUGCAUUAAUAUUGUGCCAUGUCAGACAUUAUUGUGCAAUAAUUCUAUGUGUUUGUUGUUGAGCGGUUCAUUGCUCUAUUUUUUAUCAUGCUCAGUGAUGUAGAGGCACAAAAGGGACAAGACUGUUGUAAAAAUUUUAUUUUAGGAAAAAUAUUCGACAGAGUCACGAUUUAAUUGACGUUCUGCACAAUUUUCGCGACCUGGAUGCACAGCUCUGCGAUGCUGCAAGUCAUAUAGCUCUGCUCAACGGGCAUGUCUUACCAUGAUCUUCUGCUCAUCUGUGUGUCCUAAUCAAUCGUUUUAACAGUUGAUCAUCCAGACAGUUGAGAGUUGUGCACAAAUAUUUUAGAAUCGUACGUAGAAUCGACGCAUGCGAAUGUUAAUGAUAGAAGAGUUACUGGAGUUACUGUGUAUUCAUAUCUUAAUUUUAUUAUCAGUAAAGUCAGAUAUUAAUCAUUUGUGAGCUCUAUUUCUUAUUGAUUUCUGUUGAAUUAUUCACUUGAAUACUCGAAUACAGUAUACUUGAAUACUGUUGAAUUAUCGAGGAUUACCCGAUAUCAAUAAUUCACAUAGAUGUGUUUCUGUUAAACUGCUUGUACAUGAUUAUGCAAGCUACUGAAGCCUUCUCUACUCUAAUACAUGUAUAUGGGCAUCUUGUGUGGUAUGUCUAAGAUCACAUGAGCUGCUGUUAUAGUUUUGCUCUAUUAGGGAACCGCUUGUGUUGUUUGUAACUGAUGAUAUUAUAAUUCGUUUUUUAAGUUUUUCUCUUCAUUCUUAUUACCUUAAUACUCUUUUCAAUUUUUUACACACAUUUUAUUGCUUCAUUUGUAAUGUUCGUUGCAUUUUAUGUGGUUUGUGUACUUGAACCCAAAUCUGUAACCUAUUUUUAUACUGCAUGUAAUUAAAAUCUUGAAAUGAACACA